rnacentral:rRNA from 1 species
UACGUAGGGCGCAAGCGUUGUCCGGAAUUAUUGGGCGUAAAGAGCUCGUAGGCGGUUUGUCGCGUCUGCCGUGAAAGUCCGGGGCUCAACUCCGGAUCUGCGGUGGGUACGGGCAGACUAGAGUGAUGUAGGGGAGACUGGAAUUCCUGGCGUAGCGGUGAAAUGCGCAGAUAUCAGGAGGAACACCGGUGGCGAAGGCGGGUCUCUGGGCCGAAACUGACGCUGAGGAGCGAAAGCGUGGGGAGCAAACAGG